UACGAAGGGGGCUAGCGUUGCUCGGAAUCACUGGGCGUAAAGCGCACGUAGGCGGAUUGUUAAGUCAGGGGUGAAAUCCUGGAGCUCAACUCCAGAACUGCCUUUGAUACUGGCGAUCUCGAGUCCGGGAGAGGUGAGUGGAACUGCGAGUGUAGAGGUGAAAUUCGUAGAUAUCAGGAAGAACACCAAUGGCGAAGGCAGCUCUCUGGGACGGUACUGACGCUGAGACGCGAAAGCGUGGGGAGCGAACAGG
rnacentral:rRNA from 1 species